AAAAUACUUUCUGUACCCCUAACUUAAGGGCAAAUAAGAAAAGUUGGUGAUGGUGGAAAGAUAUAUUUGAAAGCGCAAAAUAGUAAUUUUAUACAGAUAACAACUAUUGCUAACAGUUCAUUAGCGAAAUUUAACUCUAGGGGUAUAGUUGAAAUAGAUUGAAAUGUAAAAAGAGUAUUUCAAUAUUAGUCUUCUAAGAGGGGUAAAUUAGAAAGUCAAGAACAUUUUAGGGAUAUAUAAACAAUUGCCCCAAAAAAUAAAUACAACCAGCUGGCAAAAGCCAGACCAAAAAUGUACAGCGGUCUAGCAAAAAUAAUAUCGGGGUCCAC
rnacentral:lncRNA from 1 species